rnacentral:rRNA from 1 species
UACAGAGAGAUNCGAUGCGGCGACGCAGAGCGGAACUUCAAAGCCUGUCUCAGUUCGGAUUGGAGUCUGCAACCCGACUCCAUGAAGCUGGAUUCGCUAGUAAUCGCGCAUCAGCCACGGCGCGGUGAAUACGUUCCCGGGCCUUGUACACACCGCCCGUCAAGCCAUGAAAGCCGGGGGGCGCCUGAAGUCCGUGACCGCGAGGGUCGGCCUAGGGUGAAACCGGUGAUUGGGGCUAAGUCGUAACAAGGUAUC